ACAACACCUUUAAAUAAAGGAACCACUGCUUAAUAAUGAUGUUAAACAGGGAUGGUCUAGUCUAGGGGAUUAAUAUGUUCUAGCCUUUCAUGGUAGUUGAACUGAUUUUGGGUGGGCUGAGUUACCUAUCUUUUAUUUGGUCACGAAUGUUCAUUACUACCUUUGCAUUUUGAUUAUACUAUAUGAAUUAUCUUUCUUUUAUAUUCUAUAUAAACUCUAUGUUUCCCUCGUUAUGCUUCUUUCAAGGGAGGUGCUGCCGGAUUUUUGCAAUACUUUCUUUCUCUAUUUCUUUUCUUAUGUUGUAUAGGUUUUAUGGGAAGGGUAUUUGGUAACAUUCAUUGUGUGGGAGCAGUGGGGUGUUACAGAAGAGCCACUCAGUAAAGCCUCGUCUAGCGAUAGAGCGAGAGGCCGAUAGGAUCUUAAUCAUGCCUCAUGGAGAUUGGAAUUGGGAGGAUUGGUCGUUUGACGGCAAGCGACACAACACCCAGGUUAACCUUAUGUUGGGUUCUCUUUGCCGCCUUCACUACCCUAGUCUAGUGAAGGUGUGAGACGAAGAUAGUGUGGAGGAGGUGCCCGUCAGUAACUGGGACGAGUACAAGUUAAAAAAGGAACGGGGCCGCACUGACAGACACGGACUGGUGCGGCAUGACUUUUGGCUUCAUUAUCGGUUACCUGACGUCGAGGAGUACAUGGGGCACGCUGAACGUUUGUUCCAAAACAAUGCAAAGAAGCUGGUGAAGGAUGCCAUAUACUAUGCGAGAAUUCAGGCUACAAAUAUGUAUUUUCAAAAUCAUCCAGAAGAAGAAGGCCCCUUGAACAAAAAGGAAGGAUCCUCAAAGAAUUAUUUGACUGAGGACCAAUACCAUGUGGCUUCUGAAGGCUUCCAAAAGGCAUUGGUGCAUCACAUGGCAUGUUGAGGCACCAAUCCUAACCACAAGUUUGGCGGCGAUGACAUGCUCCGAAAAGCUAAAAGAACG